UAUUAUAGUGUCAUAUUAUGAAUUGGGCUGGAAUACUAUUAAUAGCAUUUUGGCUCUUUUGUUAUCGAGCUUUUAACCAUUGGAUGAAAAAUUAUAGUGUUAAGAUGAUAGUGAUCUCCUAGGGUUCAGUAGUGGCCCUUCUAAGAUUGAGUGAGUGGUUGGUUGAAUAGUAAAUCCAACGGUUAAAGAAUCGAUAGAAAAAAGCUCCAAUACUAUUAAUAGUAUUCUAGCUCAGCUCGUCACAUUAUCUCCUACU
rnacentral:lncRNA from 1 species